UUAUGGCUCAGGAUGAACGCUGGCGGCGUGCUUAACACAUGCAAGUCGAACGAAGCAACUUAUUACGAUCCCUUCGGGGUGACGAUUGUUGACUGAGUGGCGGACGGGUGAGUAACGCGUGGGUAACCUACCUUGUACAGGGGGACAACAGUUGGAAACGACUGCUAAUACCGCAUAAGCGCACAGCUUCGCAUGAAGUGGUGUGAAAAGUUUUUUCGGUACAAGAUGGACCCGCGUCUGAUUAGCUAGUUGGUGAGGUAACGGCCCACCAAGGCGACGAUCAGUAGCCGACCUGAGAGGGUGACCGGCCACAUUGGGACUGAGACACGGCCCAAACUCCUACGGGAGGCAGCAGUGGGGAAUAUUGCACAAUGGGCGAAAGCCUGAUGCAGCGAACCGCCGCGUGAGCGAAGAAGUAUUUCGGUAUGUAAAGCUCUAUCAGCAGGGAAGAUAAUGACGGUACCUGACUAAGAAGCACCGGCUAAAUACGUGCCAGCAGCUGC
rnacentral:rRNA from 1 species